rnacentral:rRNA from 1 species
ACACAUGCAAGUCGAACGAAAUCUUUAGGGAUUUAGUGGCGGACGGGUGAGUAACGCGUGAGAAUCUGCCUUCAGGUCUGGGACAACCACUGGAAACGGUGGCUAAUACCGGAUGUGCCGCAAGGUGAAAGGUUAACUGCCUGAAGAUGAGCUCGCGUCUGAUUAGCUAGUAGGUGUGGUAAGAGCGCACCUAGGCGACGAUCAGUAGCUGGUCUGAGAGGACGAUCAGCCACACUGGGACUGAGACACGGCCCAGACUCCUACGGGAGGCAGCAGUGGGGAAUUUUCCGCAAUGGGCGAAAGCCUGACGGAGCAAUACCGCGUGAGGGAGGAAGGCUCUUGGGUCGUAAACCUCUUUUCUCAGGGAAGAAAAAAAUGACGGUACCUGAGGAAUAAGCAUCGGCUAACUCCGUGCCAGCAGCCGCGGUAAUACGGAGGAUGCAAGCGUUAUCCGGAAUGAUUGGGCGUAAAGCGUCCGCAGGUGGCUAUGUAAGUCUGCUGUUAAAGAGUCUAGCUCAACUAGAUAAGAGCAGUGGAAACUACAUGGCUAGAGUACGUUCGGGGCAGAGGGAAUUCCUGGUGUAGCGGUGAAAUGCGUAGAGAUCAGGAAGAACACCGGUGGCGAAGGCGCUCUGCUAGGCCGUAACUGACACUGAGGGACGAAAGCUAGGGGAGCGAAUGGGAUUAGAUACCCCAGUAGUCCUAGCCGUAAACGAUGGAUACUAGGCGUGGCUUGUAUCGACCCGAGCCGUGCCGUAGCUAACGCGUUAAGUAUCCCGCCUGGGGAGUACGCCGGCAACGGUGAAACUCAAAGGAAUUGACGGGGGCCCGCACAAGCGGUGGAGUAUGUGGUUUAAUUCGAUGCAACGCGAAGAACCUUACCAAGGCUUGACAUGUCGCGAAUCUCGGUGAAAGCUGAGAGUGCCUUCGGGAGCGCGAACACAGGUGGUGCAUGGCUGUCGUCAGCUCGUGUCGUGAGAUGUUGGGUUAAGUCCCGCAACGAGCGCAACCCUCGUUUUUAGUUGCCAGCAUUAAGUUGGGCACUCUAGAGAGACUGCCGGUGACAAACCGGAGGAAGGUGGGGAUGACGUCAAGUCAGCAUGCCCCUUACGCCUUGGGCUACACACGUACUACAAUGCUCCGGACAGAGGGCAGCAAGCGAGCGAUCGCAAGCAAAUCCCGGAAACCGGAGCUCAGUUCAGAUCGCAGGCUGCAACUCGCCUGCGUGAAGGAGGAAUCGCUAGUAAUUGCAGGUCAGCAUACUGCAGUGAAUUCGUUCCCGGGCCUUGUACACACCGCCCGUCACACCAUGGAAGCUGGUAGUGCCCGAAGUCAUUACUCCAACCUUUCGGGGGGGAGGAUGCCUAAGGCAGGACUGGUGACUGGGGUGAAGUCGUAACAAGGUAGCCGUACCGGAAGGUGUGGCUGGAU